CCCGAGACUGGAUGCAGACCGGCAUGCCAGGAGCUUUCCCAGGAAAGGAACAGCUUCUCCCAUCCAGCACCUUCACCCUCUGUGUCCUGUGGUGUCUGGGAUGGUGCUGGAGCUGGGACAUGCCCUGAUGCCCUCAGGAUCUCCGGGUUUGUGCAGCCUCAAGACGUUUCCCUUAGGAGGGAUCUGCUGCCUCCUCCUCUUCCUCCCCCUCCCCGCUCCCUGCCGUGGCUCUGCAGAAUCCCGUCCCAGCCCCUGGGUGACCUGCCGUGGCACCGUGCCCGUGGAAAGCUGCAAACCCGACCCUCGGCUGCCAAAACCCCGUCAGAAAAAUCAGGAAAUCAGGUGCAAAUGGCAAGAGGAGAUUAACGGGAGAGGAGCGAUUGAAUCAGGGGCCAUUAACAGAUUAAAUCAUUACACGGAAUCAGAUCAGCGCACAAAUAAUAUGAAUAAUAAACGUGGCUCAGGGGCAGCCGCUCCUGCUUCCAAUUUAUCUCAAGCAGAAGGCGAGGGCUGGUGACUGCCACCACCCACGCGGUCCGGGGACAGAGGACACAUGGAAGAGCUCCGGGGUUGGGGACAAUGACACCAGAUGUGCCAGUGUGACCCUGUUCCUUUCUGUGGGUCCCUGUGGGGGUUCAGGCUCACCCCACCAGCAUCCUGCUCACCCCAGUGAGGCCUUGCAGCCUCCACAGCCCUGCAGGGACCACCCUGAGCCUCUCUCCUCAUUCAGCCUUUCCCUCUCCAAUUCUCCUUCCCGCUUCUAUUUCCUUCCCUGCAAAGAGGAGCAGCCACGUCCCUGCUCUGCUCCAAAAGGUUCAAAGGCAGUGCAGACACGUCAAUAAAAGGCUCCAAACAAUGGGAAAACGUCUUUUCUCCCCAACUUAAUUUCAUUCCCGUCACCAAAAACCCCAAGGAGCUGGAAACGAGCCUGAGCAGUCUCUGCAUGGGCACGGGGAGGGGCUCGAGUCUCCCUCGGCUGCCACAGGGUUAAUUCACAUCUCAGCACCGUCACUUCUGUUCUGCUGGCGAAUCCUUUCUUCCCUAAAUUCCUGCUUGCCCAGGAAGGCUGGAGGAAGUCUGAGCUGCUGUGACAACACCUGGGAACAAGUAUUAUUAUGUGGUGUGACAAGGAGUCAUUUGAUGCCACUAAUCAUGGCUGUGAUCCGGCACGCCGGGAUGUGUAAUGACAACGCUGAACAGGAAAAAUGGCACUCGCAUCCUCCGCUCUUCCCGCUCUAAUCCAUAUUUUACCACAUCUUUCUACCUAAUGAUACUUAGAACUGUUAAUAAAUGACUACUUAGCACCUUU